rnacentral:rRNA from 1 species
UACGUAGGGUGCAAGCGUUGUCCGGAAUUAUUGGGCGUAAAGAGCUCGUAGGCGGUUUGUCGCGUCUGCUGUGAAAACUCGGGGCUUAACCCCCGAGCCUGCAGUGGAUACGGGCAGACUAGAGGUAGGUAGGGGAGAAUGGAAUUCCUGGUGUAGCGGUGAAAUGCGCAGAUAUCAGGAGGAACACCGGUGGCGAAGGCGGGUCUCUGGGCCGAUACUGACACUGAGGAGCGAAAGCGUGGGGAGCGAACAGG